rnacentral:rRNA from 1 species
GCGUAUCAAUAAGCGGAGGAAAAGAAACCAACAGGGAUUGCCCUAGUAACGGCGAGUGAAGCGGCAACAGCUCAAAUUUGAAAUCUGGCUCUCGGGCCCGAGUUGUAAUUUGUAGAGGAUACUUUUGAUGCGGUGCCUUCCGAGUUCCCUGGAACGGGACGCCAUAGAGGGUGAGAGCCCCGUCUGGUUGGAUGCCAAAUCUCUGUAAAGUUCCUUCGACGAGUCGAGUAGUUUGGGAAUGCUGCUCUAAAUGGGAGGUAUAUGUCUUCUAAAGCUAAAUACCGGCCAGAGACCGAUAGCGCACAAGUAGAGUGAUCGAAAGAUGAAAAGCACUUUGAAAAGAGAGUUAAAAAGUACGUGAAAUUGUUGAAAGGGAAGCGUUUAUGACCAGACUUGGGCUUGGUUAAUCAUCUGGGGUUCUCCCCAGUGCACUUUUCCAGUCCAGGCCAGCAUCAGUUUUCCCCGGGGGAUAAAGACUUCGGGAAUGUGGCUCUCUUCGGGGAGUGUUAUAGCCCGUUGUGUAAUACCCUGGGGGGGACUGAGGUUCGCGCAUCUGCAAGGAUGCUGGCGUAAUGGUCAUCAACGACCCGUCUUGAAACACGGACCAAGGAGUCGUCUUCGUAUGCGAGUGUUCGGGUGUCAAACCCCUACGCGUAAUGAAAGUGAACGCAGGUGAGAGCUUCGGCGCAUCAUCGACCGAUCCUGAUGUUCUCGGAUGGAUUUGAGUAAGAGCAUACGGGGCCGGACCCGAAAGAAGGUGAACUAUGCCUGUAUAGGGUGAAGCCAGAGGAAACUCUGGUGGAGGCUCGCAGCGGUUCUGACGUGCAAAUCGAUCGUCAAAUAUGGGCAUGGGGGCGAAAGACUAAUCGAACCUUCUAGUAGCUGGUUUCCGCCGAAG